rnacentral:piRNA from 1 species
ACCAGGAAAGCUGCAUCGAACCCUUAGC